AGCUGCUGAAAGUUCGUAAGUUCACGCAUUAUACGGGAAUGAAGCGCUUCAGGUGCUGGACAGGGUUUUGCCAGGAAGUCCGGUUAUGUUGAGGGCCAUCGCCAAGACUUCUGAAGCAGUGCAGAAACAAUGCCGCUGAUUUUUCUGACGAGGGGCCUAAGGUGAUAGAGAUCUGCCCUGUAACAGUGUUGCCUGAGAAGGACGGAGGUUGUGGGCCAUUGCCGUGCGUCUGCGAAGCUACUGUCACCCUGCCGUGCUACACUGACAUGCCACUUCAGAGGGCUGGGAGGGGGGCGGUUCCCUGCAGAGAUGCAAAGGAAGCCGCAGCUCCGCAGCAGGAGUCGUCCGCUGGCGGAACGUUGCUCUUCUCUCGCUCACUUUCUUUCAUUUGUGGUUCUGGGGGUCGAACUAUCAUAUUGUGCUUUAGGGGAAAACAAAGGAACCAUCACUGUGCUUUGGCCUGCUGGUCACGCAGCUCCGGCUUCGUGUUUUUAUUUAUUUUUUGCUGAAUGAACCAUUGUUCAGUAAUGCCAACAGUCAUGAGUGGCGCCUUAAUAUGUUGUUAAAAUAUUGUAAAUACCUUCUUUUGUGCUUCUGUGCUGGUCUCUUCUGAAAGGCCAUAGUUACUCUCCAUCUGUGGUUUAUUCUGGAGCUGAUCUUGGCACGUCGUGAGAUUCAGUGUCAAAUAAUGUGGCCUAAAAGUAAAUAAAACAUGCAGCAGUGACGUUCGCCUCGCCUGCUCCCAGACGGUCCCCCUUUGCUCAUUGCGCCGCAGGGAGUGAUAAGAGAUUUAAGGUGCUCCAUUUCAUGGGUGAUGUGCCUUUAAAUGCGAACGGCACAGGCCUUGGUCAGCUAGUGUCUGCGAGUGAACUUCCGCAGUGCCGUGGUCCAUGAAGCUAAUCCCAGAGACACUGAGGCCUGUGAGAUAAAGCCUGCUUGGCCUUAAAUAGGCUGAGGAUUUGAGUCUGUUUCAUCAGGUGUAUUUUUAAUUUUAUAUAAAGUUCAAUGCUUUUUUUUUUUUUUUACUGAAUGCUUACUGGUAUGUCUGUGUGUUUGUCUUAGUGUCUCUAUGUAUUGUCUGUUUCUUGAGUACAGUGUUUUAUGCUCUAUUCUGUUGAAGAGCUGUAUGUUUUGCUUGUAAUCCCAGUGCGUGCUGCUGUGACGUCUCCCCGGCACGUAAACCCUUCAUAUAAUCUUGGCAUAACUUAGGCUGUAAAUGGGUGACUUGACUCUGGUUGUCUUGUUCCUCUGGACCGCACUGGUGGGCGUUUCCUGCCACACAGCAGAUAAAAAGUGUGAAUCCUGAGCACUUCUCAGCUGGCCACCACCGCCACAUUAGAGAGAAGUUGUGUCUGAGGUGUCUGCCGUUCCUCUGACCGCCGCACAUAGCCGUCCGAGGCAGCAGGAGGCAGCUGAAUGAUAGGAAAGGCUUUGACACUCUUCCCCCCAGAGAUCUGCUUGUUCUUUCUGCUAACUAAUGUGUGGGGGGCCGUGGGAAAGCUUCACUUCACGGAUGCUGUCCUGAGCUCUGUCGUGUGUCUGUGAAGAUGCAGAGGUGACAUGGAAUGCUUGUUUCACCUACGUCGGUGCAGACCUGAAAGGUACACGUUCCUGCUUUCUCUGAAUGGUACACGUUCCCGCUUUCCCUGAAUGGUACACGUUCCUGCUUUCCCUGAAUGGUACACUUUCCUGCUUUCCCUGAAUGGUACACUUUCCCGCUUUCCCUGAAUGGUACACGUUCCCGCUUUCCCUGAAUGGUACACGUUCCCGCUAUCCCUGAAUGGUACACGUUCCCGCUUUCCCUGAAUGGUACACAUUCCCGCUUUCCCUGAAUGGUACACUUUCCCACUUUCCCUGAAUGGUACACUUUCCCGCUUUCCCUGAAUGGUACACGUUCCUGCUUCCCCUGAAUGUACACUGCAGUCAGCUGUACUUCCUGCCCCUCCUGCCCAUGUGUAGCGCUGGGCCCGGAGCUCCCCUUCCACUCUUGCACCGGCAUCCUGUGGUCUUUCCUUUAUUAGACCGCAAACUGACACAGAGCCCAACACUGGUAUGAGUGCAACUGUGUGGGUGUGAGUGAGGAGGAGGAAG